rnacentral:rRNA from 1 species
UGGGGAGCAAACAGGAUUAGAUACCCUGGUAGUCCACGCCGUAAACGAUGUCUACUUGGAGGUUGUGGCCUUGAGCCGUGGCUUUCGGAGCUAACGCGUUAAGUAGACCGCCUGGGGAGUACGGUCGCAAGAUUAAAACUCAAAUGAAUUGACGGGGGCCCGCACAAGCGGUGGAGCAUGUGGUUUAAUUCGAUGCAACGCGAAGAACCUUACCUACUCUUGACAUCCAGAGAAGCCGGAAGAGAUUCUGGUGUGCCUUCGGGAACUCUGAGACAGGUGCUGCAUGGCUGUCGUCAGCUCGUGUUGUGAAAUGUUGGGUUAAGUCCCGCAACGAGCGCAACCCUUAUCCUUGUUUGCCAGCGAGUAAUGUCGGGAACUCCAGGGAGACUGCCGGUGAUAAACCGGAGGAAGGUGGGGACGACGUCAAGUCAUCAUGGCCCUUACGAGUAGGGCUACACACGUGCUACAAUGGCGCAUACAGAGGGCAGCCAACUUGCGAGAGUGAGCGAAUCCCAAAAAGUGCGUCGUAGUCCGGAUUGGAGUCUGCAACUCGACUCCAUGAAGUCGGAAUCGCUAGUAAUCGUGGAUCAGAAUGCCACGGUGAAUACGUUCCCGGGCCUUGUACACACCGCCCGUCACACCAUGGGAGUGGGCUGCAAAAGAAGUAGGUAGUUUAACCUUCGGGAGAACGCU